UUCCAUUUAAUCUUAUUAUGUUGUGCGUGCAAUAUUUUUCUCAAUCACAAAUUAUUCAUUUGUUUUGACGACAAUGCUUUAUCGCGGAAAUAAUAAUAUCAAUGGCACAUUACAUUUAUCGAAAUAUCGAUCUAUUUGAAGGACAUCUCUUCCGCUGAUUGACAUUUUGGAUGGAUGAUUAUUGGAAUAUGUUGGCUCUUAGAAGAUUCAACAGCGAAGAAUUCUACCAGUUCGGCCCAAGAGACAGUACAAAGGAAUGGAGAGUGAAAACCACUUCAUCAUGAAGCCAAGGUUAUUUUGGGACAACAGGGAUACAUAUGCCAGAGCUACAUGCCACAGAUUAAAUUCCGAAAGUAUUACCAAAAACUCGGCAUUAUAAUGUGAAGAAAUAUAAGUCCAGCAGGAGACAUUUGGUUUGCAUGCAUGUGAAAGGUCGAAAAGCCUUGUCGCCUAAUUGGACUUCUGUUGGAACCUGGUCUAGACCUACGAGAAAAGACUUAAUUAUGGAAUUUGAAAGAUUUGAUGAUCUAUCGGAAAUAUAAGCACAUUCUAAAAAUGUCCCAAAAAGUUCGGCAGGGGCACAAUCCAAAAAAAAAAAAACAAAUCUACGGAUUAACUUAUCAAUCAGAUCACACCAAAAUGUAUUCGGGACACUCAGAGCGGGUUGUAGAGUCGUCCCUGUUAUUACCCCAGAAAAAGGCAUUUCCUUAAGCUCUUGUUAAGAGACGUAACGUAGAACAUCUGAAGAAUUAGAACGAGCGCUAGUAGCAACAUAUAUACAAGAGUAGUAAAAUAACUGUCUGACUGAUCAAGAAACAACGACCAGACGAAACGGCUAAGGCUAGAACAUUGAAAUUUCACACGAUGAUCAGUCCUGGUGCAUCGGCGUGUGCUAAGGCUUAGUUUUGAAAAUUCGUACUAAGAGGAUUCGAAAAGUACUAAACAUUUAAUACUUUGUAUUGGACAAACGGAAUGAGCUAGAAUUCUAAAAUUUGGAAUGAGGCACUGAUGAAAAGCAAGAUAGAUGUUUUUGGAAAUUCGAACUUUAAGGUUACGGAAAGUUCUAUAGUGGUACCAUUUGGUAUUAUAUGAGCGGAUAAAGCUAAGUUUGAUAUAAGAAAGAGGUGUACUAAGUGUGCGAAUUGUACUAAAUGGUGCUAAAUUUGGAUCAGUUUGGUUAAGGGUGAACGGAUGAAGCUAAAAUUCUGUAUUGGAGUCCCUGUUGGUGUUAGGUUUGUUAUAAAAAGAGAUGGGUUUGGAAAUGUGUACUAAAAGUGCACGAAAGUACUAAAUGAUACGAACUUUAGUACAAUUUGGUGUUGGGAGAAUUUUUGUCAAAAUUUUGUAUUGGAGCGUGUAAAAUAUGGAGGUGGUGUCGGAAUAGUGUGCUAUAAUUGUACGAAAGUACUGAAUUGUACCAUAUUUGGUAUUGGAUGAAGGGAUAUGAAUAAAAAAAAAAUUAACGUUUACUUUUCUAUGGUAUCUGUGUUUGAAAUUUGGCAGUGGCUUUGAAAUACGCUCUAUAUUUGUACGAAAAGUACUAAAAAUUUGGUAUUGGGUGGAUGGAUA